rnacentral:rRNA from 1 species
CGCAGACAACCAGGAUGUUGGCUCAGAAGCAGCCACUCAUUCAAAGAGUGCGUAAUAGCUCACUGGUCGAGCGUCUUUGCGCGGAGAAUUUAACGGGGCUAAACCUGGCACCGAAGCUUAGGCAAUGUAGUAAUACAUUGGGUAGGGGAGCGUUGUAUACGCGGCGAAACAGUAGCGCAAGCGGCUGUGGAGUGUAUAGAAGUGAGAAUGCCGGAAUGAGUAGCGCGAAUGCAGUGAGAAUCUGCAUGGCCGAAAGCCUCAGGUUUUUGGAGGAAGGUUCGUCCGCUCCAAGUUAGUCGGGAGCUAAGGUGAGGCCGGAAGGCGUAGCCGAUGCACAGACGGUAGAGAUUCCGUCACCACCAAAAGAGUUAAGCACAGGGACACAUAAGAAGUCUCAGAGCCGGGUGUUGGUUCCGGUAGAGAUCGAGGGAAAAUAGUACCGAAGUCUGGGAUGGAAGAUGGCGAGAAAAGCUGUGUGGAUUUCUGAGGUGCCCGUACCGCAAACCGACACAGGUAGGUAGGAAGAAGAUUCUAAGGCCAACGGGAGAAGGGUUGUUAAGGAACUCGGCAAAUUGACCCCGUAACUUCGGGAGAAGGGGUGCUCCAGAGAUGGAGCCGCAGAGAAUCGGCCCAAGCAACUGUUUACCAAAAACACAGGUUUGUGCUAAAUCGAAAGAUGACGUAUACGAGCUGACGCCUGCCCGGUGCUGGAAGGUUAAGAGGAGAUGUGCAAGCAUUGAAUCGAAGCCCCAGUGAACGGCGGCCGUAACUAUAACGGUCCUAAGGUAGCGAAAUUCCUUGUCAGGUAAGUUCUGACCCGCAUGAAAGGCGUAAUGAUUUGGGCACUGUCUCAACAGCCCGCCCGGCGAAAUUGUAGUACCGGUGAAGAUGCCGGUUACCCGCGACAAGACGGAAAGACCCCAUGGAGCUUUACUGUAGCCUAAUAUUGGGUUUCGAUGUUGCAUGCACAGGAUAGAUGGGACUCUGGGAAGUGAUCGCUUUGGCGGUCAUGGAGAGGACGUUGGGAUACCAUCCUUGCGAUAUUGGAAUUCUAACCUGCGGCUCUGAAUCGAGUCGGGGGACAUUGUUAGGUGGGCAGUUUGACUGGGGCGGUCGCCUCCUAAAGAGUAACGGAGGCGUUCAAAGGUUCGCUCAGCUUGAACGGAAAUCAAGCAAAAGAGUGCAAACGCAGAAGCGAGCCUAACUGCGAGACUGACGGGUCGAGCAGUAACGAAAGUUGGAGUUAGUGAUCCGGUGGUAUGUGAGUGGAAAUGCCAUCGCUCAACGGAUAAAAGUUACCCUGGGGAUAACAGGCUGAUCUCCCCCAAGAGUCCACAUCGACGGGGAGGUUUGGCACCUCGAUGUCGGCUCA